rnacentral:rRNA from 1 species
GUGCCAGCCGCCGCGGUAAAACGUAGGACGCGAGCGUUAUCCGGAUUUACUGGGCGUAAAGCGCGGGCAGGCGGUGGUCCAAGUCGGACGUGAAAGCUCCCGGCUCAACUGGGAGAGGUCGUUCGAAACUGGGCCGCUAGAGGGCAGUAGAGGGGCGUGGAAUUCCGGGUGGAGUGGUGAAAUGCGUAGAGAUCCGGAGGAACACCAGAGGCGAAGGCGGCGCCCUGGGCUGCACCUGACGCUGAGCCGCGAAAGCUAGGGGAGCGAACGGGAUUAGAAACCCCGGUAGUCCUAGCCGUAAACGAUGUCCACUAGAUGUCUGGGCGGAGCGCCUGGGCGUCGCAGCUAACGCGUUAAGUGGACCGCCUGGGGAGUACGGCCGCAAGGCUAAA